AACUCUUAGCGGUGGAUCACUCAGCUCGUGCAUCAAUUAAGAACGCAGCUAGCUCCGAGAAUUAAUGUGAAUUGCAGGAUACAUUGAUCAUCGACACUUUGAGCGCACUUGUGGUCCCGGCUUCCUCCCAGGGCUACUCCUGUCUGAGCAUCA
rnacentral:rRNA from 1 species